rnacentral:lncRNA from 1 species
UAUAGCUUUCCAAGUCAGUAUUAUUGACAUUUACUUGGUGUAAUUAACUUUUUGUAAAAGGUCUGCUGUCAAGCAUUUAAGUAAUUUGUAGUCGCAAAAAGCCACCGAUGAGAAGAAAUAAGGCAGUAUUUUGAGAGCACUUCUCAAGAACUGAAUCAAAGGAAAGAUGGGUCGUGGCAAUGAUAUUUUAAUAAAUACCAUUCUCAACUGGAAAUAGAUAGCAUGGUAUAUGUGUUGUACCUUGAAAAGACUCUUGGGGUGCACAGUUUUGCUUCAUAUCCCAAGACUUCCUAAAUGUUGUAUAUAUAUAUAAAAACUUCAUUUAUGAGUUAUUUUAGAUAAUUGCCUUUUGACAUGUAGUCAAGGCUGACCAACAAGGAUGCACCCAAGACAUUUUGUCCUGUGAAACAGCACCAAAGGAUUUUUUUUUUUUUUUGGUGAGAAAGAGACACUGGGAAUUGAACCCAGGGCCACUUGACCACAGAGCUACAUCCUCAGCAUUUUUUAUUUUCUAUUUGAGACAGGGAUUUGCCAAGUUGCUUAGGGUCUUGCUGGAUUUUUACUGAGUACGGUCUAAAAGGUGAGAUCCUCUUGCCUCAGCCUCUUGAGUCAUUGAAAUUAUAGGAUGUGCCACUCUGGCUGUCUCAAAAUCAUUCUUCCUAGAGGCACUUGACAGAGAUUAGUUCUUAGGAAUAGGACUGAGGAGCCAAGAAGGCAAUAUUUCCUCAUAACUACAUAUUCACACUCCUGUUUAUUCCACCCCACCACCUCCAUGGCGAAGAAACCUGACAAAAGAGAUACUUUACUUUCCCACCAUAUAGCCCCCUUCAUAAUUUCUG